rnacentral:lncRNA from 1 species
UCUCAAUCGCAUGAGAUUGCCUCUUGUUUCUACGCUGAAGCGGAAAGUAAAACACAGCUAAAUUUGAUCCCCUUUACUCUCCCAGCCAUUCAAACCACCAGCACAUUAUCAAGGUUGAAGAAGUUAGAUUUAGAUUCAGAGUCUUGGGAAUGGGCUACAGGUUGAGAAAAUUAUCUUUCCUUCCCUCUGGAGUCCUCUUCCUCAAGAAGAGACUGAAAAACAAACAGAUGUCCCUGAAUUUGGGCCCGAAGCCCCCAGUGAGAUAAACUGUUCCCAGUUGCGUGGAAUUGGCUUUUAACUCCUUAACUGGGCAGAGGGAGUAUCAAAACUUCUCUUUGAAAAGAAUUUCACUUUAUGAUCGAUUAAUGGCCAUUUAUUGAACUGCUAGGAAAGAGCUAUAUGAAAGUAAAUUGCACCAAAAUUUCUUUUUUAAUAUCCUAGUUCUAUUCUGCAAUUCUAACAGCAUCUAUACUGUGAAAAUAAAGACACCUUUAGUCUUGAAGUUAAUAAGUGAAAUUAAAUUACUUUAGCACAAGUAAAUGUUUCAAGAUAGCAACUCAAUGAAAUACCUGUUUUCUCUUCAGAAAGGUUUACCUCUCACUUUCGUAAACUAGCUGAUUUCAUUAUCUCUGAAUCUAUCUGUCACUUGUGUCGUCUUAUUCUGAAAACCGCAAAGACACUGCUUAGCAAGG